CAUGGAACCUGGGCCGCAGGCCUAACACAUGCAAGUCGAGCGGUAGAGAGAAGCUUGCUUCUCUUGAGAGCGGUGGACGGGUGAGUAAUGCCUAGGAAUCUGCCUGGUAGUGGGGGAUAACGUUCGGAAACGAACGCUAAUACCGCAUACGUCCUACGGGAGAAAGCAGGGGACCUUCGGGCCUUGCGCUAUCAGAUGAGCCUAGGUCGGAUUAGCUAGUUGGUGAGGUAAUGGCUCACCAAGGCGACGAUCCGUAACUGGUCUGAGAGGAUGAUCAGUCACACUGGAACUGAGACACGGUCCAGACUCCUACGGGAGGCAACAGUGGGGAAUAUUGGACAAUGGGCGAAAGCCUGAUCCAGCCAUGCCGCGUGUGUGAAGAAGGUCUUCUGAUUGUAAAGCACUUUAAGUUGGGAGGAAGGGCAUUAACCUAAUACGUUAGUGUUUUGACGUUACCGACAGAAUAAGCACCGGCUAACUCUGUGCCAGCAGCCGCGGUAAUACAGAGGGUGCAAGCGUUAAUCGGAAUUACUGGGCGUAAAGCGCGCGUAUGUGGUUUGUUAAGUUGGAUGUGAAAUCCCCGGGCUCAACCUGGGAACUGCAUUCAAAACUGACUGACUAGAGUAUGGUAGAGGGUGGUGGAAUUUCCUGUGUAGCGGUGAAAUGCGUAGAUAUAGGAAGGAACACCAGUGGCGAAGGCGACCACCUGGACUAAUACUGACACUGAGGUGCGAAAGCGUGGGGAGCAAACAGGAUUUACAUACCCCUGGUAGUCCCCGCCCGUAAACGAUGUCAACUAGCCGUUGGAAGCCUUGAGCUUUUUAGUGGCGCAGCUAACGCAUUAAAGUUGACCGCCUGGGGAGUACGGGCCACAAGGUUAAAA
rnacentral:rRNA from 1 species